GCCCUUCCCGGCCUCGCCCGCACUCCCAGCGCCCACGGAGGCGGCCAGCCUUCUCCCCAGAGACCGUCUGGGAGUCGCUCAAGGCUUUCCAUGACUGGCGGGGAUGCGCCGCUGCCCCAAGCCCCGCCACGUUCUCCAUCCAGCAGCCGGCCUGGUGCUCCCUGAAUAGGGACCACCCAUGCCAGAUCAUCCCCCUCCCUUUGCCUGGCUUCAGUCCGACGCGAGGCCGCUGGGGGGCAAGCGCUGUGGUUGAGAAAAGCAAAGAAAAAAGAAAAAUCCACCAAGUUUAGGGGGUGAAGGAGCACUGUAUAUAUCUGGAUUUAAAAAAAGCAAUUCCUCCCACCCACAACCAUCGGAAACACACCCUCGUGUCCACUGCCCCUCGCCCGUAUCUCAUGAACCAGAAGGGCAAAUACGCCACAACUUUCUCUUUGUCCCACGUCUGUCCCCUGACGCCAUCUGCCCACGUCUCUACGUGACGCAGCUUCUCUCCGUCGAAAACCCCAGUCGGGCAGAUGCGUUGGCGAGUGACGCCUCUUCGGAACCGGGGUCAGGAGGAAGACGCCUCUGAGAGCGCUUCAAAAACCCAGCGGGUGAGCGGGACCCGCUGUGCCCAACCGGCCGCGCCCCCGUCCCGACCACGUGCGCGCGCGCGGGGCUCGCUCUCAAUGACCCUCUGAGCAGAUGAGGAAAGAGGCUCCAGUGCAGCCUAGAUGAUAUGAAAGGCCUCGCUGGGAAGACAGUACAACAGAUCCUUAAACAAGUAAAGAAGACAGACUUGGGUAUCAAGCAACAUGCCUGGCUGCUUUCUUCUGGGCUUUGUAAUUUGCCCUUCUUCUAUGAAUUAACUCAUCUGACCAAGGCAUGAGUAGCCAGAGUCCUCAGUUAACUUCCACGUAGCUUGACAAGAGGGACAGAGACAAGGACCAAGCCCACAGUCUAGAAAGGGAAUGAAUGUGUUUAUAAUAGGAUGACUGGUGUUUGUGAUAGAAGAGAUGUUCCAUUG
rnacentral:lncRNA from 1 species